AACGAACGCUGGCGGCAGGCCUAACACAUGCAAGUCGAGCGAGGACUUCGGUUCUAGCGGCGGACGGGUGUGUAACGCGUGGGAAUGUGCCCUUCUCUACGGAAUAGCCCUGGGAAACUGGGAGUAAUACCGUAUACGCCCUAUUGGGGAAAGAUUUAUCGGAGAAGGAUCAGCCCGCGUUGGAUUAGGUUGUUGGUGGGGUAAUGGCCUACCACGCCGACGAUCCAUAGCUGGGUUGAGAGGAUGAUCAGCCACACUGGGACUGAGACACGGCCCAGACUCCUACGGGAGGCAGCAGUGGGGAAUCUUAGACAAUGGGGGCAACCCUGAUCUAGCCAUGCCGCGUGAGUGAUGAAGGCCUUAGGGUUGUAAAGCUCUUUCAGCUGGGAAGAUAAUGACGGUACCAGCAGAAGAAGCCCCGGCUAACUCCGUG
rnacentral:rRNA from 1 species